rnacentral:rRNA from 1 species
UACGAAGGGGGCUAGCGUUGCUCGGAAUCACUGGGCGUAAAGCGCACGUAGGCGGAUUGUUAAGUCAGGGGUGAAAUCCUGGAGCUCAACUCCAGAACUGCCUUUGAUACUGGCGAUCUUGAGUCCGGGAGAGGUGAGUGGAACUGCGAGUGUAGAGGUGAAAUUCGUAGAUAUCCGCAAGAACACCAGUGGCGAAGGCGGCUCACUGGCCCGGUACUGACGCUGAGGUGCGAAAGCGUGGGGAGCAAACAGG